GCAGGUGGGAAAAACAGGAUGCUUAAGCCCCCCGAGCAUUGAACAAGGAAUAUAGCUUGCUGAAUUUAGGCGAAGGUGGAAAAGUUGCAAAAACUAAGCAGGAUGUGGUAAAAAUGCUUAAAAAGAUAUUGUAACAGAGGCUCGGGGCUGCACUUGGAGAGCUUGCUCCUUGGCAGACGCUGGCCGGCUAAAAUAAAGGCUCCCUUUUAUAAUCUACGUUUCUGUGAGGACCUGUUUCCUUACUCCUGCUCCAGCAUGCCUGAUUUGAGACCCAUAACAUUUGGGGGCUUGUCCGGGAUCAGGCAUGAUCAUUGAGCAGUUCUUUUGAGACCUUGAGAUCGCUGACCACCCGUGGGCCCACGGGUAUCAGCACAUCCUCAACUGUCAGAGUUUCUUAAGGAGCCAUCUGGAAAUCCUCCGGAGUACUAUCCCAAUUUCCUUAUGUCAACUGUCUUACAGUAAGCUCUCGUCAGAUCUUUAGCCAUCGUCAUUUAAGCCAUAAAACUACAAAUAGUAACAGAAGUGGAACCUGAAAUAGAAGUGCCCAUCUUCUGAGGCCCUCUCAACUGACUACUGAUGGAGACCUAACUGCACCCUUUACUGUGCCCCUUCUCAGCAUGAAGCAGUCAGAGCGGUCAUCGCCCCCUUUCCCUAGCAGCAGCUAGAGUCUCUAUCUGCAGAGGGGGAAAUGAGACAAGAAUCAUGGGCUUAGACAGAGUAGAGUGAGGGCCUCUGGAAAAAGCAUGACAAGAUAUUUACAGUCAAAGCAAUGCAACAGUGUAAAGUCCCUAUCAAAACUGUGUUCAGCAUUAUGCAAAGUGAAGGGC